GAUCCUGGCUCAGAAUCAACGCUGGCGGCGCGCUUAACACAUGCAAGUCGAACGAGAAAGGGGAGCAAUCCCUGAGUACAGUGGCGUACGGGUGAGUAACACGUGGAUGAUCUACCUCUUAGUGGGGGAUAUCUCUGGGAAACCGGAGUUAAUACCGCAUAAGCUCGAGAGAGGAAACGGGAAACCGGCUGAGAGAGGAGUCCGCGGCCGAUUAGCUAGUUGGUAGGGUAACGGCCUACCAAGGCGUAGAUCGGUAGCCGGCCUGAGAGGGCACACGGCCACACUGGCACUGAAACACGGGCCAGACUCCUACGGGAGGCA
rnacentral:rRNA from 1 species